AAGUCGUAACAAGGUUUCCGUAGGUGAACCUGCGGAAGGAUCACGUUAAAAUCCCCCCCGUGAACAUUGAUUCCUGCUCUUGUAACCCGCGAAGCUUGCAAUCUCUGGUAAAUCAUAGCCCGGAAAGUAGUUUUGAUUCAGAGACCUCUGGCCCGUGCGAAAAUUGGAACAGUUACAAUUCGAGCGGUAGUUCUAGAGGCCUUGUUUCCCCAAGCAGUCAGUGUCUGAAAGUGUCAGUGAUUGUGCAAGGAUAACACUUCACGAUUCUUGUAGACCGCACCUCGCGGGCAGGAGCUAGGCCAAAGGGUCCCCAUGCCCCCUUACAACCCCACAGUUAAAUGUGAAGCUCAAUGUAAUACAUUGAGUAAAAAACCGAGCAACUGUUAACAAUGGAUAUCUUACGAUGAAGAACGCAGC
rnacentral:misc_RNA from 1 species